UUCGGUGUCACACCUAACGGAUUAAGCAUUCCGCCUGGGGAGUACGGCCGCAAGGUUAAAACUCGAAGGAAUUGACGGGGCCCCGCACAAGCAGCGGAGCAUGCGGCUUAAUUCGACGCAACGCGAAGAACCUUACCAAGGCUUGACAUAUACAGGAAUAUGGCAGAGAUGUCAUAGCCGCAAGGUCUGUAUACAGGUGGUGCAUGGUUGUCGUCAGCUCGUGUCGUGAGAUGUUGGGUUAAGUCCCGCAACGAGCGCAACCCUCGUUCUGUGUUGCCAGCAUUUAGUUGGGGACUCACAGGAGACUGCCGGGGUUAACUCGGAGGAAGGUGGGGAUGACGUCAAAUCAUCAUGCCCCUUAUGUCUUGGGCUGCACGCAUGCUACAAUGGCUGGUACAAACGGCUGCGAUACCGCAAGGUGGAGCGAAUCCGAGAAAGCCAGUCUCAGUUCGGAUUGGGGUCUGCAACUCGACCCCAUGAAGUCGGAGUUGCUAGUAAUCGUAGAUCAGCAACGCUACGGUGAAUACGUUCCCGGGGCUUGUACACACCGCCCGUCACAUCACGAAAGUCGGUAACACCCAAAGUCAGUGGCCCAACCGUCAAGGAGGGAGCUGCCAAAGGUGGAUCGGUGAUGGGAUGAAGUCGUAA
rnacentral:rRNA from 1 species